GACGAACGCUGGCGGCGUGCUUAACACAUGCAAGUCGAACGGUGAAGGGACCGGUUUUUGCUGGUUCUGGAUGAGUGGCGAACGGGUGAGUAACACGUGAGUAACCUGCCCCCUUCUUCUGGAUAACCGCAUGAAAGUGUGGCUAAUACGGGAUAUUCUGCGCCUGCUGCAUGGUGGGUGUGGUAAAGAUAUUGUUUCGUUGGGGGAUGUGCUCGCGGCCUAUCAGGUUGUUGGUGGGGUGAUGGCCUACCAAGGCGGUGACGGGUAGCCGGCCUGAGAGGGUGGACGGUCACACUGGGACUGAGACACGGACAAGACUCCUACGGGAGGCAGCAGUGGGGAAUAUUGCACAAUGGGCGAAAGCCUGAUGCAGCGACGCCGCGUGAGGGAUGGAGGCCUUCGGGUUGUAAACCUCUUUCGCCAGUGAAGCAGGCCUGUCCCUUUUGUGGGUGGGUUGACGGUAGCUGGAUAAGAAGCGCCGGCUAACUACGUG
rnacentral:rRNA from 1 species